rnacentral:rRNA from 1 species
GAUGAACGCUGGCGGCGUGCCUAAUACAUGCAAGUCGAGCGAACAGACGAGGAGCUUGCUCCUCUGACGUUAGCGGCGGACGGGUGAGUAACACGUGGAUAACCUACCUAUAAGACUGGGAUAACUUCGGGAAACCGGAGCUAAUACCGGAUAAUAUAUUGAACCGCAUGGUUCAAUAGUGAAAGACGGUUUUGCUGUCACUUAUAGAUGGAUCCGCGCCGCAUUAGCUAGUUGGUAAGGUAACGGCUUACCAAGGCGACGAUGCGUAGCCGACCUGAGAGGGUGAUCGGCCACACUGGAACUGAGACACGGUCCAGACUCCUACGGGAGGCAGCAGUAGGGAAUCUUCCGCAAUGGGCGAAAGCCUGACGGAGCAACGCCGCGUGAGUGAUGAAGGUCUUCGGAUCGUAAAAAUCUGUUAUUAGGGAAGAACAAAUGUGUAAGUAACUAUGCACGUCUUGACGGUACCUAAUCAGAAAGCCACGGCUAACUACGUG